UGCAGUCGACGGUAACAGGAAUUAGCUUGCUAAUUUGCUGACGAGUGGCGCACGGGUGCGUAACGCGUAUACAAUCUACCUUUUACAGAGAGAUAGCCCAGAGAAAUUUGGAUUAAUACCUCAUAGUAUUAUUUGAUGGCAUCAUUAGAUAAUUAAAGUUUCGGCGGUAAAAGAUGAGUAUGCGUUCUAUUAGCUAGAUGGUGUGGUAACGGCACACCAUGGCAACGAUAGAUAGGGGCCCUGAGAGGGGGAUCCCCCACACUGGUACUGAGACACGGACCAGACUCCUACGGGAGGCAGCAGUGAGGAAUAUUGGACAAUGGAGGCAACUCUGAUCCAGCCAUGCCGCGUGCAGGAAGACUGCCCUAUGGGUUGUAAACUGCUUUUAUACAGGAAGAAACACUCCCUCGUGAGGGAGCUUGACGGUACUGUAAGAAUAAGGAUCGGCUAACUCCGUGCCAGCAGCCGCGGUAAUACGGAGGAUCCAAGCGUUAUCCGGAAUCAUUGGGUUUAAAGGGUCCGUAGGUGGAUAAUUAAGUCAGAGGUGAAAUCCUG
rnacentral:rRNA from 1 species